AAGUCGAGCGGGCGUAGCAAUACGUCAGCGGCAGACGGGUGAGUAACGCGUGGGAACGUACCUUUUGGUUCGGAACAACACAGGGAAACUUGUGCUAAUACCGGAUAAGCCCUUACGGGGAAAGAUUUAUCGCCGAAAGAUCGGCCCGCGUCUGAUUAGCUAGUUGGUGAGGUAAUGGCUCACCAAGGCGACGAUCAGUAGCUGGUCUGAGAGGAUGAUCAGCCACAUUGGGACUGAGACACGGCCCAAACUCCUACGGGAGGCAGCAGUGGGGAAUAUUGGACAAUGGGGGCAACCCUGAUCCAGCCAUGCCGCGUGAGUGAUGAAGGCCCUAGGGUUGUAAAGCUCUUUUGUGCGGGAAGAUAAUGACGGUACCGCAAGAAUAAGCCCCGGCUAACUUCGUGCCAGCAGCCGCGGUAAUACGAAGGGGGCUAGCGUUGCUCGGAAUCACUGGGCGUAAAGGGUGCGUAGGCGGGUCUUUAAGUCAGGGGUGAAAUCCUGGAGCUCAACUCCAGAACUGCCUUUGAUACUGAGGAUCUUGAGUUCGGGAGAGGUGAGUGGAACUGCGAGUGUAGAGGUGAAAUUCGUAGAUAUUCGCAAGAACACCAGUGGCGAAGGCGGCUC
rnacentral:rRNA from 1 species